rnacentral:rRNA from 1 species
AUACGGAGGGUGCAAGCGUUACUCGGAAUCACUGGGCGUAAAGCGCGCGCAGGCGGGCUGAUAAGUUGGAUGUGAAAGCCUACGGCUCAACCGUAGAACUGCAUCCAAAACUGUCAGUCUAGAGUGUGGGAGAGGAAGAUGGAAUUAGUUGUGUAGGGGUAAAAUCCGUAGAGAUAACUAGGAAUACCAAAAGCGAAGGCAAUCUUCUGGAACACUACUGACGCUGAGGCGCGAAGGCGUGGGGAGCAAACAGGAGUAGAAACCCUAGUAGUCC